AUACGGAGGAUCCGAGCGUUAUCCGGAUUUAUUGGGUUUAAAGGGUGCGCAGGCGGCCAUUUAAGUCAGCGGUUAAAUCGUGGGGCUCAACCCCAUUCUGCCGUUGAUACUGGGUGGCUUGAUUGCGGUCGAGGUUGGCGGAAUUCGUUGUGUAGGGGUGUAAUGCAUAGAUAUGACGAAGAACACCGAUUGCGUAGGCAGCUGACCAGACCGCAAAUGACGCUCAUGCACGAAAGUGCGGGGAUCGAACAGGAUUAGAUACCCUGGUAGUCCGCACAGUAAACGAUGAAUACUUGUUUUCGGCGAUAUAAUGUCGGAGGCAAAGCGAAAGCGAUAAGUAUUCCACCUGGGGAGUACGCCGGCAACGGUGAAACUUAAAGGAAUGGACGGGG
rnacentral:rRNA from 1 species